CGCCGGCUCUGUCCCUCGGCGGCGUCGGACGAACUGCGGCGCUGCACGUCAACCACGGCUCCAGCACUUGUUUCGUCCGCACGCAUUGUACCCACCGCAGGAAAGUCCGCCGCAAGCAGAUCCGCCGCCCACGACGACCGGGAUUUGUUCCGCGCACCAAUUGGUACGAAAUAGUCCUCAAUGUCUCGUCGUAGCGGGUACACCGGCGAGGGUGGGGAUUCGAUCAUGUCGUGGCCACGUUCUACUUCUCCUACCUCGUCGGAAGUGCAGUUAGCCAGGCAAGCCGAUGAUCCAUGGUACAUUGCAUACCAAGAUGAAUCAACCC